UCGCGUUUGUGAUCUCUUCUU
rnacentral:piRNA from 1 species